rnacentral:hammerhead_ribozyme from 1 species
AUUCAGCUGACGAGUCCCAAAUAGAACGAAAUGCGCGACCUGGAU